GCAGGGCGCCGGGGCCCAAACCUGGGGUCGUCAGAGCCGGCGACCGUGCAUGGAGAGGGCAGGACCGGCCCGGCGCGGAGUGUCCCGGAAGGCUUGCGGGCCGGGGCGGAGGGCGGAGGAGCGGAGAUGCGGUCCCACAGGAAAGCCUCGGCCGAGCUGACCUACCUGAGGACAGGGCUUGAGAACUGCCCCACCUUCCCUGCGUCCAGAGGGGACAAGCCUGGGUCUCCCAGGGUGUCCGGACUGUGGGGCCCAGAUGUUUGAUCCAGAUGCCCGACGCCUGGGAUUCUCCGGCCGAAGAGCUGGAGCCCUUUCUUCUCCUGGUUUGUCUGUAGCUUUCCGGCAUACCUACAUCUCUGUUCAAAAGAAGGAAAACAGUUAAAAUCCAACCUUUUCUUCUAAAAGGAAGAAACCUAAAGAAGAAAUCCCAUCUCUUCUCACGAGUAAAGACCGCCACAGAGAGUCUGCAGGAAGACCCGUGUAAAGAGACGUCUUUUCUAUCGGUAGUAACGGUCGGUUCCACGUUAGCUGAAGUUUCCCACAUGCUUUCCUUUCGGGGACGCUAGCCACCAGCAUCUCUCCUAAAGAAGGUGGACAAAAGUAUGGAAAGAAGUGACAAAUUGUGGAUGGCAAGGGUGCAUGGCACCAAUCCCCCCACCAAGAAUGAAGCUCGUCCAUCUUUGUGAAAUGAUGUGUUCGUGUGCCUUUGGAGACACCUUACAGAAGACAUCCAGUGUGGAGCUGACGGGCAUAAGCUUUGGAACUAUGUCCACGUGGAUUUCACGCUGGAUUCGGCCACUCUCUCGUUGUGUCCCCCGGGGGGCUCCCGGUCCACGCUGCCUAGUUUCCUCAUCUGUGAAACAGGAAUAAAAUAGCCGCCUGUUGUUCCUAACGAAGAUGAACCAUUUAUAAAGAACUCCAUGUUGUCAC